GAGUGUUACAGCUCUUUUAGAAUGUGUCUAGUGAAUUUUCUCUUCCUUACUGGAAAACCCUC
rnacentral:snRNA from 1 species